AUCAUAAAACUGCGUGAGCGCACCAAACACCUAAAAUUGUAAUACUACCAGUCACUAAGUUUUAACAAAACAAAACUUUCAACAACGGAUCUCUUGGUUCUCGCAUCGAUGAAGAGCGCAGCGAAAUGCGAUACCUAGUGUGAAUUGCAGCCAUCGUGAAUCAUCGAGUUCUUGAACGCACAUUGCGCCCCAUGGUAUUCCAUGGGGCAUGCCUGUCUGAGCGUCGUUUCCUUCUUGCGCAAGCAGAGUUGAGAACAGGCUAUGCCUUUUUCGAAAUGGAACGUCGUGGACGAAGUGAACUAAAUUUUUAGCACGCUUUGGCCGCCGAACUUUUAACUAAGCUCGACCUCAGAUCAGGUAGGAAUACCCGCUGAACUUAAGCAUAUCAAUAAGCGGAGGAA
rnacentral:rRNA from 1 species